UACUAUAAUGGAGGAUCUUUGAUAAAUUUUGUGAUUCUUGGUGCUUUACUUCUGAGUGCUGUUUUGUAAAAUUAAAUUAAGCACAGUUCAUUUUUUAUGCUUAAAUGCUUUACUUCUGAGUGCUUCUCUCAUCUUUUAUUAAUAUCUCCAACUUCUGCAUCCAUCACCCUUAAACUAUUCUGCUUAAAUGCAAUUAUUCCAUCAACCAUUUAAGCUUCUUAUUUUUUAUUUUUCAACUAAGUUUCUGUCUGAUGACGUUUUUCAAUUUUGCUUUAUUAGUAACUUACAAGUUAUCUUCUACUUUCAGCGUAAUUGUUGAUCCUACUAAUUUAGCUGAUGGUCUGCAUUAUUAUGAGGUCUACGGUAUUGACUGCAAAGCACCAUGGCGCGGUCCUCUUUUCAGAAUUCCAGUUACCAUAACCAAGCCUGUGGCUAUUACUAAUAGACAUUCACAAGUUUCAUCUUCAAAGAUGUUAUUCCAAUCAGAUAUGUCCAUUGCAUAAACCGUUGACAUGGAGGAGUGUGAUGACUUUUUCUUCCCCUGCUGCCAAAAGCUUCGCCUUCAAGAUUAUAGGUGGUCAAACAUUGGAACUAGUCAUAGCUCAGUUUUGUCAAGUGGCAUAGGGAGUCAAGAGACUACAAGUGUGGAUCUGAAGCUUUUCGUGCAUCUAAUUCGGCCAUCUAUCCAGCUCUCCCCAUCUGAUCGAAAGUGACAUUACAUGGCGAGGUAAAAUGAAUUAGAGCUUAUAAGUUAUAAGUUACUAGCAAUUUUUUUUGGGAUACUUGUGCCUUUUUCUUAAAUCUCACAUAUUAGGGAAUGUAUAUACUUACUUGAUAGUCUUUUAAUCCCAUCUUAUCACAUAUGGCAAUAGCUGCCUUUUUUUCAUCCAACUUGCACAGAAGAAAGACUUGAUAAACCACUAUUUUAUGGUUUAUCUUGUGCUCAAUUGAGUGGUUUUUAUCAACUCUUUAUCCACUUAUUCAUAUGAUUUGCAUGUUUUAUAUUUUCCUUCCUGAUUCUGUGCUAUGAUUGAAAACAUGCUUCUUUGGCUUUUAUUUUCUUUUAUUUAAUCCUCUCUUAUUACCAUUAGAUGCCUUGAUAUGUGUGUUAAGUGAUUUCAGGAAUUACAGGGCAGGAAUGGCUUAGAGGAUGGAAAGGAAGCAUGCAAAAGUGGAAGGAAUACAAGAAGUUGAAGAAACUGCAAAGCUGUCAGUCUGACCCUCUUGCAAUAAAAUGAUCAUAACUUGAGCUACAGAGGUUUAAAUGAUACGGUUCCACUUGCGUUGGAAAGCUAACGUCCGGGGCUUCGAUUUGAUAUAUAAUUCGCCAUAGUGGCCGUACAGAUAGGCGACGCGAACGUGCGCUCCACGCGGACGCAUCGCAUCUGCGAAUCUCAUUCCACGCAAACGCGUGGAUGACGCCUCCGCGUCACUUUGCCGCGACCUGUACGGACCAGAUUUCACAAUCGGCAAUUUCUAGGCUGUUUCUGACCCAGUUUUCGGCCCAGAGAACACAUAUUAGAGGCUAUAAAGUGGGGGAAUGCAUCCAUUCAUAAUUAAGCUUUCAUAACUCAUAAAUUUUAGUUUUAGAUGUAGUUUUUAGAGAGAGAGGCUCUCUCCUCUCUCUUAGGAUUUAGGAUUAGGAUUUCUAUUAGGAUUAGGAUUGUUUCUUCAUACCAGGUUCUUUAAUUUAUGUUUCUCUUCUACUUUUAGAUACUCUAAUACUUUUAUCUGUCAAUUACUUAUG